AUUAUGUUUGUUGUUUACGAAAAAAUCGUAAAUAUUAAAAAAAUGAAUAAUGUAUACAAAACAACAGAACGAACAGUGUGACCCGUGUGGAUCGGACGCCGAGGACAGCCUGUGAAAGACGACUGGUUGAUGAUAAGACUAGCGAUCUGUUAUCAUCGUAUCGGCGGCAUCGCAAGUGUAAACACGACCACGUGCAUACUGUAAAAUGAUUUCGUGAUAAUCGGUGUUUGCUGCUGUCUCGCUGGUAAUAAACACUAAGCCGUGUCGUUUCAUUCGUUUUCAUUCGUGCCGACUCUUCAGUCGCCAAACGACAUGUUACGCCGGCAAGCUCGACUCCGGCGCGAGUACCUAUACCGUAAGAGUUUGGAGACCCGUCAGAAGGUGAUCCAAGACAAAAAGGAACGGCUCAAACACUGUUUGGACGAGAACGUGCCCAUUCACUAUGACCUGCGCACAGAGGCAUUGCACUUGCAGGAAAAACUAGAAUGGGACGACGAUGCGCCAGCGUUGUCGGCUAUCGGUGGUGGCGAGGAAGGCGGUGCGGGUACCUCGCACGAAGACGACGAGUACCGUUGGGCCGGUGUCGAGGACCCGAAAAUCAUGAUCACCACGUCGCACGACCCGUCGACAAGGUUGAAAAAGUUCGUCAAAGAGCUGAGACUGAUAUUUCCAAACGCCCAACGCAUGAACCGUGGUAAUUAUGAAAUCAAGCAGUUGAUACAAGCUUGCCGAGCUAACGAGGUGACUGAUUUUAUCGUUGUGCAUGAGCACAGAGGUGUUCCGGACACGUUGAUCGUUUGUCACAUGCCGUAUGGCCCAACAGCCUAUUUCAACUUGACAGACGUAGUCAUGAGACACGACGUUCCUGACAUUGGUACAAUGUCUGAACAGUUUCCACAUUUGAUUUUCCAUAAUUUCGAAACACAACUCGGUAAGAGAACAAUGAACAUCUUGAAGUAUUUGUACCCGGUUCCAAAAGAAGACAGCAAGAGAGUCAUCUCUUUUGCCAAUCAUGAUGAUUAUAUAUCGUUUAGACACCAUACUUACAAAACGGUGGAUGGUAACAAAAUUGAAAUGAAUGAAGUUGGUCCUCGUUUUCAGUUGAAACUUUAUCAAAUAAAAUUGGGAACCUUAGAAUCAGCAGAUACAGCUGACACAGAAUGGAUGCUCAGACCUUAUAUGAACACUGCAUCUAAGCGACGAUAUCUGUCAUUAAAAGAUGGCUGGGCUCAAGAUGAUACAAUUUUUUCUUAAAUAAUGAUUGUUUUGUAAAUAAAAAUAUGACCUAAAUUAAAAAGAUUUUUUUAUAUAAUGUUGAAUUUGAUAGUAUUACAAAUUUCAAUACUAAACUUUGCUAUCAUGUGUAUAUAAAUGUAAAGGAUUACAAAUCACAUUUUCAAAAUAAAAGUCUUUAAAGUAAAAAAAAACAUCUUACCCUAUCCUAACCUUACUGUGACACCUUUAAAACGUGGAAAUAUUACCAGGAGAUGUACAUUUUUUAAAUAAUCAAAAAUAUUUACAUAAUGAUGAAGAUUAAGUAAAUAUUUUCAUCAUCUUUAUAUGAACACUUAUACAAUAAAUAAUAAAUACAUAACAGAGAAAUGUAUAACAUUUAACUGACUACCUAUAUAUUAAUAUAAUGAAUCACUAAACAACGAUUAACGAUUUUCAAGCAGCACUUGUAUUUUUUAAUAUUAUAUCUAUACAAAAAACUACAAUGUUAAAAUGUACCGACUUGAAUAAAAAUUUCUCAGUGAAAUAUUUGCGAAUUCAAAAUACUUAUAAAUUAUCAUACUCACCAGAAUGUUACUGGAAAACAGAUUUUUCUUGGUUGUUUUUAUAUUCAAAACUUAAAAAUAUUAUCCAUUUUUUUUUAUCCACUGCGAACUUAAUUACAACUUAAGAAAAAUGUGAUUUUAGGUUUUAGGUACCUAUAAAGAAAAUAAAAGUAUAUUUUUAUCACGCAUGUGAUCCAGAUUUCAGACGCACCAGCACCAUAGAGUUUAUAAGUUAUAACAUAACAAUUUACAACAGUAAUAGAACACAAUACCACAGUACGAAAGUACUGACUACUCAGUAGGUUUUAUUCAAUGUUUCUACACUACAACUUCUAUACUAGUAAUACAACUCAAAAAUAUAAAGAUUGUUAAAUUGUUUUUAAAAUAAAUUAUAGUGGUUUAUUUGUUAUGAUUAGUUAUCAUAUUAAACGGUUUUUAUUCUUAUGAAAAGACGGAUAACCAGAGAAUAAAAUAUUGACUCCAAAAAUAAACCUAAAUAGAAUCCUACCCAUUAUGAACCAGAAAUAACAGCAGUUUCAAGAUCUGGACGAAUUAUAAAGAAAUCUUCCAAGUUACUUGGUUUUGAAUCUUCGGACAUAC